UGCAGAAUAAAAACAGAGAAGCAAAGCACAGCAUGGUAGUCUUGCAUUGAAGAGACACAGACUGGAGUUUGGAGAGACUGAAAAUGCUACAAUUUGCAGGUUCUAAACAGAUUAUUGCCUAUUGAUGGUGAAUGAUGAUUGUGGAGCUUUAUUUCAUGAAAAGUGAAUGCUACACAACUAUACUUACUGAUUACUCAGGUUAUAUAAAUUCGACUAAAUUGGCUUUCUGAGACAUCGUGCUGUCCAGAUAUUCUUCAGAGUCUUCAAGGUAAGUGGAAAGUUCUGAGAUAUGAGCAAAAAUACAGUGUAGAUUUUAAGCUACAACACAUGCUAACUAUGUGAAUUUUUCUAAGAUAAACUCU